rnacentral:rRNA from 1 species
UACGUAGGGGGCAAGCGUUGUCCGGAUUUAUUGGGCGUAAAGAGCGUGUAGGCGGCCAUACAGGUCAGCUGUGAAAACUCGAGGCUCAACCUCGAGACGUCGGUUGAAACCGUUUGGCUAGAGUCCGGAAGAGGAGAGUGGAAUUCCCGGUGUGAGCGGUGAAAUGCGCAGAUAUCGGGAAGAACACCCGUGGCGAAGGCGGCUCUCUGGGACGGUACUGACGCGUGAGACGCGAAAAGCGUGGGGAGCGAACAGG